CUCCUGGAAAACGGGUGGUAAUGCCGGAUGCUCCAGUUGAUUGCAUGGUCUUCUGGGAAAGCCUUUGCGGCAUGGGAUGGGGUCGCGUCCUAUCAGCUUGAUGGCGGGGUAACGGCCCACCAUGGCUUCGACGGGUAGCCGGCCUGAGAGGGCGACCGGCCACAUUGGGACUGAGAUACGGCCCAGACUCCUACGGGAGGCAGCAGUGGGGAAUAUUGCACAAUGGGCGCAAGCCUGAUGCAGCGACGCCGCGUGAGGGAUGGAGGCCUUCGGGUUGUAAACCUCUUUUGUUAGGGAGCAAGGCAUUUUGUGUUGAGUGUACCUUUCGAAUAAGCACCGGCUAACUACGUGCCAGCAGCCGCGGUAAUACGUAGGGUGCAAGCGUUAUCCGGAAUUAUUGGGCGUAAAGGGCUCGUAGGCGGUUCGUCGCGUCCGGUGUGAAAGUCCAUCGCUUAACGGUGGAUCCGCGCCGGGUACGGGCGGGCUUGAGUGCGGUAGGGGAGACUGGAAUUCCCGGUGUAACGGUGGAAUGUGUAGAUAUCGGAAAGAACACCA
rnacentral:rRNA from 1 species